rnacentral:rRNA from 1 species
UACGAAGGGGACUAGCGUUGUUCGGAAUUACUGGGCGUAAAGCGCACGUAGGCGGAUUUGUUAGUCAGGGGUGAAAUCCCGGGGCUCAACCUCGGAACUGCCUUUGAUACUGCAAGUCUCGAGUCCGAUAGAGGUGGGUGGAAUUCCUAGUGUAGAGGUGAAAUUCGUAGAUAUUCGGAAGAACACCAGUGGCGAAGGCGACUCACUGGACAUGUAUUGACGCUGAGGUGCGAAAGCGUGGGGAGCAAACAGGG